rnacentral:rRNA from 1 species
UACGUAGGGGGCAAGCGUUGUCCGGAUUUACUGGGCGUAAAGAGCGUGUAGGCGGCCAAGCAGGUCCGUUGUGAAAACUGGAGGCUUAACCUCCAGACGUCGACGGAAACCGCGUGGCUAGAGUCCGGAAGAGGAGAGUGGAAUUCCUGGUGUAGCGGUGAAAUGCGCAGAUAUCAGGAAGAACACCGAUGGCGAAGGCAGGUCUCUGGGCAUUAACUGACGCUGAGGAGCGAAAGCAUGGGGAGCGAACAGG